ACUCCUACGGGAGGCAGCAGUAGGGAAUAUUGCGCAAUGGGGGAAACCCUGACGCAGCAAUGCCACGUGAGUGAGGAAGGGUUUCGGCUCGUAAAGCUCUGUCCUAAGGGAAGAACGGUAGAUCGGUUAAUACCCGGACUAUUUGACGGUACCUUAGAAGAAAGCACCGGCUAACUCCGUGCCAGCAGCCGCGGUAAUACGGAGGGUGCAAGCGUUGUUCGGAUUUAUUGGGCGUAAAGCGCGCGCAGGCGGACUAGUAAGUCAGAUGUGAAAUCCCAGGGCCUAACCCUGGAACUGCGUCUGAAACUGCAAGUCUAGAAUCUCAUAGGGGGUGGGGAAUUUCACGUGUAGGGGUAAAAUCCGUAGAGAUGUGAAGGAACACCAGAGGCGAAGGCGCCCACCUGGAUGAGUAUUGACGCUGAGGCGCGAAAGCGUGGGGAGCAAACAGGAUUAGAUACCCUGGUAGCUACGAG
rnacentral:rRNA from 1 species